rnacentral:misc_RNA from 1 species
UCCGGCUUAUCACCGGCAGUUCCCCUAAAGUGCCCACCAUUACGUGCUGGCGACCAAGGGUGUGGGUUGCGCUCGUUGCCGGACUUAACCGAACAUCUCACGACACGAGCUGACGACAGCCAUGCAGCACCUGUCCACCUGUCCCUUGCGGGAAAGACCUGUCUCCAGGCCGGUCAGGCGAUGUCAAGGGUUGGUAAGGUGGGGAUGACGUUGACGUCA